GACGUCGAUAUUCGACGUCAUAAACACGAACAACUUUGGUGUUUAUGACGUCGAUAUUCGACAUCAUAAACACGAACAACUUUGGUGUUUAUGACGUCGAUAUUCGACGUCAUAAACACGAACAACUUUGGUGUUUAUGACGUCGAUAUUCGACGUCAUAAACACGAACAACUUUGGUGUUUAUGACGUCGAUAUUCGACGUCAUAAACACGAACAACUUUGGUGUUUAUGACGUCGUUAUUCGACGUC
rnacentral:miRNA from 1 species